rnacentral:pre_miRNA from 1 species
UUGAUGGUGUUGUGAGGCUGACUUGCUUGGGAGUUCAUUCAUGUCCCUAAGCGCUUCAUCCUUAUAGACACCUUCAGCG